rnacentral:rRNA from 1 species
UACGAAGGGGGCUAGCGUUGCUCGGAAUCACUGGGCGUAAAGGGUGCGUAGGCGGGUCUUUAAGUCCGGGGUGAAAUCCUGGAGCUCAACUCCAGAACUGCCUUUGAUACUGAGGAUCUUGAGUUCGGGAGAGGUGAGUGGAACUGCGAGUGUAGAGGUGAAAUUCGUAGAUAUUCGCAAGAACACCAGUGGCGAAGGCGGCUCUCUGGACCGAGACUGACGCUGAGGCGCGAAAGCGUGGGGAGCAAACAGG